CAAACGUGGGGCGGGGAUGGAAGGAACCCAACCAAUGUGAUGGUCCUGCGGCCUCCUCCAGACACAGCAUGUGCUUACAUGUAACAGCCAUUCAGCUGUGAUGGUGUGAGCAGGGACCGGUGCAGCCAGGCCAGGAGGCUGAGCACUGUGAGGAGCUGAGCCACAGCACAGACCCCGGCAACGGUGAGUGCAAUGGUCCGAUUCUUAGGCAGCCUGAGCCCAGUGGUGUGGAGACUGAGCAUGUGGGCAGUGCCACAUUUCAGAAGCAGACUGCUGCCGAAAUGGAGCAGAUACAGCACAGACACAGCCAAUUUCUCCUCCAAGCCAUUAUGGCUGGAAAGACCUGUUGUGGUGUUUCCUGUCAUCGUCGUGUCCUGCUGAGCAGUAGUCUCAGUGAGAGGCCAGGAGUGUGCCCUGCAAACUGAUGGAAGUUUAAGGCAUUGAUAAUGCGAUGAUCCAAAACUAAGGUAAAAUACCCUCUGUGCCAUUAAACCAGGGAUUUAGCUGACAAAUCCAGUGUGCUGCUGGGGGUGAGCACCUGCUCAAGGGCUGCUCCACUUCAAACCUGAGCUGUGAGGCAUAAUAGCAGAACUGUCCCCAGAGUACUU
rnacentral:lncRNA from 1 species